UACGGGGGGGGCAAGCGUUGUUCGGAAUUACUGGGCGUAAAGGGCUCGUAGGCGGCCAACUAAGUCAGACGUGAAAUCCCUCGGCUUAACCGGGGAACUGCGUCUGAUACUGGAUGGCUUGAGUUUGGGAGAGGGAUGCGGAAUUCCAGGUGUAGCGGUGAAAUGCGUAGAUAUCUGGAGGAACACCGGUGGCGAAGGCGGCAUCCUGGACCAACACCGACGCUGAGUGAGCGAAAGCCAGGGGAGCAAACGGG
rnacentral:rRNA from 1 species